rnacentral:tRNA from 1 species
CGGGCCGUAGUAUACCGGUAGUACGCCUGUUUUGGGAACAGGUAGACCGGGUUCGAUUCCCGGCGGCCCGACUA